rnacentral:lncRNA from 10 species
UUUCCCUGGCCGAUUCAGUUGGCUAGAGCUCUUCAGGGACCACACUGCAAUUCUGGAUUUCCUGCCAGAGCAUCUGUGGAUGAGACAAGCACAGUGCCAGGCACUUGGAAAUGUUUGCUUGCUAGAAGAGCACUGGAGAUAGAGUCGGAUACGCUUUAAAGGACAAGGGAAAACAGCUCCCAGUGGAUGGUACACACAUGGCAAAAGGCCAAGAGUAGAAGCACCGUCAUUAGGAAAAGGAAUCAGCCAAGGUUACAUGAAGGGAACUGACAGCACAUCCAGGGAGAGCCAGUAGGGGCACAGAAGACAAAAAUCAGAUGGCUGACUUUUGGCAAACCUCAUCUCAGAUUCUAUUACAAGUCCCUGUUCCAAAUUCCCUCUCUCCUCAAGAACUUUAAAGGAAUUACUUCAAUAACUCCUUGUCAAGAAUAACUAUUAUCAAGAAACACAAACAGGAAACUACUGGGGCUUCUCUGAUUUUCAACCUAAUAACUUGAGGCAAACACUGCAAACUCAAAUGCCCACAGGAACCCAGGCGGGCCCCAAAAACGAGAAUAAAGGGCCAAAUGAGCCUGUGCCCAUCUGAGGAGGCAGCCUUGACCCCAGCCCAGGAGCCCAUGCCUGGUGAGACGGUGGCCCCAGUGCUGCAGGUCAUCUGAUUUAUCAAAAUAAGUCACAAAUCUGGAUUUUCAGGCUUAUCACUUGAUUUUUACCAUUAGUAACUAUAAGACUUUAGAUAACCACAUACAGGUAAACAGGAAGGGACUACAAAGCAAAUGCAGCCCCGGGCACCAGUCUGCAAACUCUAGUAUUUGAGGGACACAAGCAAAAAUACUAAGAAUAGGCCUAGACCUGGAGGGGAGUUAAUACUGCAUCCUCUUUCAGCUAUCAUCUUUGCUGCCCAAAGAAGCCAAAACCAUGCCUGCCCAGCUCUCUCUUAGACCGAGAGGAGCAGACAAAGGCCAGACAAGGCGAGGUGGCUUUCUGCCACUGUGCUGGUCCCCCGAGGCAUUUCCAUUUAUCAAAUGAGGGGGCUGGUGGAGGCUGGACGUGGUGGCUCACACCUGUAAUCCCAGCACUUUAGGAGGCUAAGGCGGGCGGAUCACGAGGUCAGGAGAUCGAGACCAUCUUGGCCAACAUGGUGAAACCCCAUCUCUACUAAAAUUACAAAAAUUAGCUGGGCGUGGUGGCAUGUGCCUGUAAUCCCAGCUACUCGGGAGCCUGAGGCAGGAGAAUAGCUUGAACCAGGGAGUUGGAGGUUGCAGUGAGCCGAAAUUGUACCACUGUACUCCAGCCUGGCCACAGAACAAGACUCCAUCUCAAAAAAAAAAAAAAAAAAAAAAUGAGGGGACUGGUUUAGAUCAGGGCAGUAUUGGGAGGGUGGGAUCCUUGCCCAUGGUGAAGGGCCGCCUCAGGGCCAUGUGAUCAUCCCUGGUGGUAAACACAGGCCUCAGGCAGUGGGAACUACCAAUCUUUUAAAGAGAAGCCA